rnacentral:rRNA from 1 species
GACAGAGGUCUCGAGCGUUAGGCGGAAUCACUGGGCUUAAAGCGUGUGUAGGCGGAGUUCUAAGUACCUUGUGAAAUCCCACGGCUUAACCGUGGAACUGCUUGGUAUACUGGUUCUCUUGGGCCACUUAGGGGCUACCGGAACAAACGGUGGAGCGGUGAAAUGCGUAGAUAUCGUGUGGAACGCCAAUGGUGAAAACAGGUAGCUGGGAGUGUGCCGACGCUGAGACACGAAAGCCAGGGGAGCGAACGGG